rnacentral:rRNA from 1 species
GUCCACGCUGUAAACGAUGUCAACUAACCGUUGGGCUUCUUUUAGGAGCUUAGUGGUGGAGCUAACGUAUUAAGUUGACCGCCUGGGGAGUACGGCCGCAAGGUUAAAACUCAAAUGAAUUGACGGGGGCCCGCACAAGCGGUGGAGCAUGUGGUUUAAUUCGAUGCAACGCGAAGAACCUUACCUACCCUUGACAUCCAGAGAAUCUGUGAGAGAUCGUAGAGUGCCUUCGGGAACUCUGAGACAGGUGCUGCAUGGCUGUCGU